CCUAAACAUAGAUCCUUUUUUAUCAAGCGCUGUACUUAUACUGAUAUUUGAACAUGUACAUAUCCAGAUCAGUGACCAUUGAUUAGUGUCUUGGUCUUUGCCUUAACUAUUUCCUUGAUUAUGAUUUCACUUUUUUAACUUUAGUUAGUGUGUAAUGUUGCUGUUUGAGCAUAAACAACAUCUGCAAAGUUACGACGCUCAAAGUUCAAUGCAAAGGGAGAUAUUUUCUUAGCUUUUUAAGGACUACAACAAACGGCUAGUAGAGACUACAAUGAGCUUCUUCCCGGGUUUGGAACAAAACAAACCCCAAAACUGAGGCCAUGUUGGGCUGCUUUAGAGAAGAGGAAGAGUUGUUGUAGUAGAGUGUUGUUGUCAUGCCGUCAUUUUACGCCGGACUGCUUCACAAACGAGGGUCAAUUCAACGCUGGAUUUGCACAAAGGAUUAACAUGACGGCACAUGCUAGUGGAUGAGUUGAAUCAACUCCACAGCAAGUGCAUAAAUUUAUCCACUAACCAUUCAGAAACGUCUAAAAGUUGUAACUUCUUCCUGAGUCUCUCCAUCAGUGUCGACUCCGGUUUGAACAAUGUAAGGCUGAACACCGUUACUGACAAUUAGGCUGGGUAUUGACACAAUUUUCACAAUUCGAUUCUAUUUCUAUUCACAUGCUUGUGAUUCAAUUACGAUUUUGAUUUGAUAUUAAUUAUUUUGGAUGUAGUAUAUCAGUUACAGUACAUGGCAAAUUUUCUAGAGGAAAAAAAUCUCUCAACUAAUGCUGUAAACUACACAUGGGAGUCAGUUGGUACUACUUUACUAUAAUAUUGAAGGUUAAAAUUAACUUAUUUAUAUACAAAGACUUAAAUUACACUCAAUUAUGUUUUUUUUUAUAAUAAAUAAAGUUUAGAAUUAUAUAAUCAAAUUUCUACUCCAAUUCGUUUUUUUUUUUUUUUUUUUUAAAUAUAAACAUUUAAAUCGUGGCUGUCAUAGCUGAUUUAUUCAAACAUGCAUUACAUAUUGAAGAACAUUAUAUUGAAUAUGUAACGGUGCAUAUCUAUAUUCAUCAGAAAGCUGGUUUCUAGAUGUUUAUUCAUGUUUAUUUCGUGCUGUAAUUGGUAUUAAAGCGGAGAGGAUGUUCACAUGCACUCCGUGCUGCCGCAUCUCUUUAACUGAGGCGCUAAAGCGAUCUGUCACGCCACAUUAAACAGCGCCAAAACGGUACUUAUUUUUUGAAUCUCAUAAUAAGAUGGACGUCAUUUGAAAUCUGAGACUUUGCUUCAUAUCAAAAGUAACAAAGCACAAAGAUUAUUGCGAUUUAUUGGAUGGGAGGUGCGCUACAUGUUCUGUUCAUUCAUCAACUGAAAACAGACUAGACUAAUCGAUUCUUGGGAUUUAAGAAUCGAUAUCAGUUUGUAAAAAUGAGAAUCGAUAUUAAUAUUAGAGACGUUACAGGGCUCGACAAUAAGGACUGCCCGAUGGCUCGGGGCCAGUGUGAACGAUGCUCGGGACAGUUGACGGAACCGUCACUUGCCCGAUCGGGCCAGUGCUGUAGGGGUGUGCAUUAGAUAUUGUCUAUGAUAUCGUAAUUGUUGAUUUAACAAUCUGGCAUAAUCGUGUAUGUCUACCACUUAACAAUAACCAAACAAAAACACACCCAUUGAGUGCACGCAUACGUGACGUAGUCUAGUAGGUUAGACUAGUGCACGUGCUUAUUUAGAGUGUACGAUUUCACUGCGUGAUUUAGUCUAUUAAAAUGCAUUUAGAAUGCCCCCAGAAUUCAAGAUAAUGGGUAAAAAUGCAGGGGUAUGUCUUUUAUAUGUAUAUAAUUUAAUAUAGUUAACCAAUGUUACACAAAGAGGACCAUUUUUCUCCAAAUAUCAGCAUGAUUACAAAUGUGAUAUUGAUUUUAUACAACGUACAGUUUAAUAAACAGGCAGUUUAUAUUCAUUGACUUACAUUUUAGACACCAAAUCGCCUGUUUCGCUCUAUUUCGCCAAAGAAUAUAGUUCCAAACACAAAAUUGUUUUGUGUCUCUGAGCAACACUUCCUGAAUGAAUCAGCCGUUUGAAUGAAUCGGUUAAAUCUCAAUGACUCGCUCAUUAACAGGGACUUGCUGCCACCUCCUGGCGGGUUUAAUUUCACAUUUAAUUUAUCACUUUUCAUUUUAUAAAUAAUUUCAAAUAACAGUAUUUUGUUUUAUAUUUUCAACAUUUCAAAACAUUAUUUAUGCAUCUGUAACUACUCGUGACUGAUUAACUUUAAUAAAGUUUAAUCAAUAGUUAUAUAGUUAUACAUUAGAUUAUAAUUUCUGUACCCAAAAAUCACCUGUUUAUGACUACAUAAGAAACCUGAAAAGCACAGUUUAUUUCAUUCAUUUAUUCUGUUGUAUUUAUCUGUGCUAUUACUUGUAAUUAGAUUAUUUGUUCCUAUUUUAUUACUUACUGUUUACUUGUCUAAACAAUAUUUAAAAUGUAAGUGAGUUAAUCUAGUAGCUUCUGGUGUCGUAACCUUAUUUAUUAAGGUUACAUGUAUCAAAAACAAUAAACAAUAACUAGGCUUAUUUUAUAGGCCCAUUUUCUUUUCUUUUACUUUAUUAAUUUUUUUAUUGUGGGGCCAGUGAAAAUUUUGGCAGGGCAAGUAAAAAUUUGAGCAACUGGCCCGACCGGGCCAGCAGAAAAAAUCCUUAGUGUUGAGCCCUGCGUUAGAGAACAGGAAGGCCUGAAAGCGUAUGCAGAGGUUGAGUUGUUCUGCUCCAUACGUGAGUAACAUUGGUUUUGCUGUUGUUGUUGUUGUACAGUUUUGAGUGUCAUUGUUUGUCUGGAGCUGCGGUGCUGCUGGCGACUAACAAUGAACUCUUGCUUGUAUAUACUCUUGUGUACUGUAUGUUAAUUUUUCCUCUUGUUGUUCAUCAUCUUCACAUUAGUUUUCACAAAGCAAGUAUGCAAUUUCAGAUGCAGCCAAUAAGUCUCUUGUGGUUCAGCGCUUUACAGUUAAUGUGGAAGAUGCCUGUGUUUUUUGUAGAGAUGAUCAUUAGUCAUUUAUUUUGACAUAUAUGUCCUAAGAUACAGAGUUUUUUGAAAGAUUUGAAAAAUAACAAAAAGAAAUUAAGAUUAAAGGGGCUAUAUGUAGAAUUUAGAAACCCUUGUUUUUAGCGACACUGGUGGCCAUUAAGUGAACUGCAGCCAGCAACUUAUUGCUUGUGCUCACAGUCAUAACACAGAACAAAAAUGACAGCAGUAAGAAAACAGCAGUUAAGAAAUCAUCUGAUCAUAGCGAUGUGGUUUGCACCAGAUCUGCGAUUCACCAGCAUCAUGUCGACAGAUGAGACGCUGGAAUCCCGGAAAGCCAGAUGACUGGAAACAGCACGGUCUGGGAGAGGAAGGAGAGGACUGUGGGGAGAUUUCAUAUUCUGGGGAACUAAAUGACAGCCACUGCUCCAACGAAGUGGGAUUCAUUUGCAGAGAGUAAUUCUGAAACUGAAAACAGCUGUGGUGUAGUGCCAUCUAAAUGACAAAUGAAAAGGAUCCAGUCACUAUUGUGAAAUCAUUUAACACUAUACAGUGCAUCCGGACAGCGCUUCACUUUUUCCACAUUUUGUUAUGUUACAUCCUUAUUCCAAAAUGGAUUAAAUUCAUUAUUUUCCUCAAAAUUCUACAAACAAUACCCCAUAAUGACAACAAUGUGAAAGAAGUUUGUUUGAAAUCUUUGCAAAUUUAUUAAAAAAAAAAAUUAAAAAACGUCACGUACAUAAAGUGAGCUUUGGAAAAUGUGAUGUCAGUGAUGUUGAGUGAUUUCUAGGUUACUUUACUGAAUGUCUCCUUAAAAUCAACAAAACUCUGAAUGACCAUGGCAUUAUUUUCCAAUAAAAAAGCCUUCAUUGUCUCAUGGCUACAUAUAAAAAGUUUGGCACAGGCCUCCUUUAGAGAGAGUAACACAAUAAACUUGCCAAACAACUUUA